UCGAGUCGGCCUGCGCGGAAGAUGUAACGGGGCUAAGUAGUAAACCGAAGCUGCGGCAAUAUACUUUUGUAUAUUGGGUAGGGGAGCGUUCUGUAAGCGGUUGAAGGUGUGUGGUAACGCAUGCUGGACGUAUCAGAAGUGCGAAUGCUGACAUGAGUAACGAUAAAGGGGGUGAAAAACCUCCUCGCCGGAAGACCAAGGGUUCCUGUCCAACGUUAAUCGGGGCAGGGUAAGUCGACCCCUAAGGCGAGGCCGAAAGGCGUAGUCGAUGGGAAACGGGUUAAUAUUCCCGUACUUCUUACAAUUGCGAUGGGGGGACGGAGAAGGCUAGGUGGGCCUGGCGACGGUUGUCCAGGUUCAAGUGCGUAGGCUUGAGAGUUAGGUAAAUCCGGCUCUCUUUAAGGCUGAGACACGACGUCGAGCACCUACGGGUGUGAAGUCAUUGAUGCCAUGCUUCCAGGAAAAGCCUCUAAGCUUCAGAUUGUAAGGAAUCGUACCCCAAACCGACACAGGUGGUCGGGUAGAGAAUACCAAGGCGCUUGA
rnacentral:rRNA from 1 species